rnacentral:rRNA from 1 species
GAUGAACGCUAGCUACAGGCUUAACACAUGCAAGUCGAGGGGAAACGUCAUUAAGUGCUUGCACUUUUUGGACGUCGACCGGCGCACGGGUGAGUAACGCGUAUCCAACCUUCCCAUGACUAAGGGAUAACCUGCCGAAAGGCAGACUAAUACCUUAUGGUCUUCACUGACGGCAUCAGAUGUGAAGUAAAGAUUUAUCGGUUAUGGAUGGGGAUGCGUCUGAUUAGCUUGUUGGCGGGGUAACGGCCCACCAAGGCAACGAUCAGUAGGGGUUCUGAGAGGAAGGUCCCCCACAUUGGAACUGAGACACGGUCCAAACUCCUACGGGAGGCAGCAGUGAGGAAUAUUGGUCAAUGGGCGAGAGCCUGAACCAGCCAAGUAGCGUGCAGGAUGACGGCCCUAUGGGUUGUAAACUGCUUUUGUAUGGGGAUAAAGUCAAUCACGUGUGAUUGUUUGCAGGUACCAUACGAAUAAGGACCGGCUAAUUCCGUG